rnacentral:rRNA from 1 species
AUUGAACGCUGGCGGCAGGCCUAACACAUGCAAGUCGAACGAGUGGCGGACGGGUGAGUAAUGUCUGGGAAACUGCCUGAUGGAGGGGGAUAACUACUGGAAACGGUAGCUAAUACCGCAUACCAUACGAUGUGCCCAGAUGGGAUGAGCUAGUAGGUGGGGUAACUGCUCACUUAGGCGACGAUCCCUAGCUGGUCUGAGAGGUGGACCAGCCACAGUGGAACUGUGACACGGUCCAGAGUCCUACGGGACGCAUACGUGGGGAAUAUUGCACAAUGGGCGCAAGCCUGCUGCAUCCCUGCCGCGUGUAUGAAGAAGGCCUUCGGGUUGUAAAGUACUUUCAGCGGGGAGGCGUUACCCGCAGAAGAAGCACCGGCUAACUCCGUGCCAGCAGCCGCGGUAAUUC